rnacentral:rRNA from 1 species
UAUAAUUGUUUGCCAGCAGCCGCGGUAAUACGUAGGGGGCAAGCGUUAUCCGGAUUUACUGGGUGUAAAGGGAGCGUAGACGGCAAGGCAAGUCUGAUGUGAAAACCCAGGGCUUAACCCUGGGACUGCAUUGGAAACUGUCUGGCUCGAGUGCCGGAGAGGUAAGCGGAAUUCCUAGUGUAGCGGUGAAAUGCGUAGAUAUUAGGAAGAACACCAGUGGCGAAGGCGGCUUACUGGACGGUAACUGACGUUGAGGCUCGAAAGCGUGGGGAGCAAACAGG